ensembl:lncRNA
AUAGCGAGAGUUAGGAGGACAUGUAGAGAACGAUAGAAGGUUAGCGGCCUCUGGCUUUAUAGCGAGAGUUAGGAGGACAUGUAGAGAAUGAUAGAAGGUUAGCAUCCUCUGGCUUUAUAGCGAGAGUUAGGAGGACAUGUAGAGAAUGAUAGAAGGUUAGCGGCCUCUGGCUUUAUAGCGAGAGUUAGGAGGACAUGUAGAGAACGAUAGAAGGUUAGCGGCCUCUGGCUUUAUAGCGAGAGUUAGGAGGACAUGUAGAGAAUGAUAGAAGGUUAGCGUCCUCUAGCCUUAUAGCGAGAGUUAGGAGGACAUGUAGAGAAUGAUAGAAGGUUAGCGUCCUAUAGCCUUAUAGCGAGUUAGGAGGACAUGUAGAGAAUGAUAGAAGGUUAGCAUCCUCUGGCUUUAUAGCGAGAGUUAGGAGGACAUGUAGAGAAUGAUAGAAGGUUAGCGUCCUCUGGCUUUAUAGUGAGAGUUAGGAGGACAUGUAGAGAACGAUAGAAGGUUAGGAGGACAUGUAGAGAACUAUAGAAGGUUAGCGUCCUCUGGCUUUAUAGCGAGAGUUAGGAGGACAUGUAGAGAAUGAUAGAAGGUUAGCAUCCUCUGGCUUUAUAGCGAGAGUUAGGAGGACAUGUAGAGAAUGAUAGA